GACGAACGCUGGCGGCGUGCUUAACACAUGCAAGUCGAGCGGUAAGGCCCUUUCGGGGUACGACGAGCGGCGAACGGGUGAGUAACACGUGGGUGGACCUGCCCUCCAGCUCUGGGAGUAAGCCUGGGAAACCGGGGUCUAAUACCGGAUAUGACUCCAUGACGCAUGUUGUGGGGUGGAAAGCCUUGUGCGGCUGAGGAUGGGCCCGCGGCCUAUCAGCUUGUUGGUGGGGUGAUGGCCUACCAAGGCGACGACGGGUAGCCGGCCUGAGAGGGCGACCGGCCACACUGGGACUGAGACACGGCCCAGACUCCUACGGGAGGCAGCAGUGGGGAAUCUUGCGCAAUGGGCGAAAGCCUGACGCAGCGACGCCGCGUGAGGGAUGACGGCCU
rnacentral:rRNA from 1 species